GAAACUGUAUUUUUAUUUGUAGUCGGAAUUUCUCACUCAAUUGAACAUAUAAGACGCUCACUCUUAACAAGUCUGACCAUUCUUUCGAAUAAAGUAGAGAAUUUUAAUUUUUAUAACGAACUUGAAAAUAUUUUUGAUAUCGUAAAAAAUAUCAGUGAAAAUGAUUCAAUGUCGCCAUAUUGUGAAAUUACUAGAACCAACAUUUCUCUUCAAGCCGCAACAUAUUGCAUUUUCAAUGGCAGCAUUCAAACUAUACAGAAAACUGUUAUAGCGUCGCUUGUUGGCUAC